rnacentral:rRNA from 1 species
UACGUAGGGGGCAAGCGUUGUUCGGAAUUACUGGGCGUAAAGGGCUCGUAGGCGGCCAACUAAGUCAGACGUGAAAUCCCUCGGCUUAACCGGGGAACUGCGUCUGAUACUGGAUGGCUUGAGUUUGGGAGAGGGACGCGGAAUUCCAGGUGUAGCGGUGAAAUGCGUAGAUAUCUGGAGGAACACCGGUGGCGAAAGCGGCGUCCUGGACCAACACUGACACUGAGGAGCGAAAGCCAGGGGAGCAAACGGG